AUGACUGGGAAUGAGUUUCGUUUCUUCUUGUCUUGUGAUAUUAAUCUUCCAGUUACAUUUAGAGUCGACAGUCUCGAAGGGAACUUGCCACCAAUCAAGACUCCCGAAGAUGAAUAUUUAGAAAUUGAUUCCAUUACUGACAAGAGAAAGGCUGAGUUAUACGUCGAGUGUCAGUUAUUCAUUGAUGGCGCUCCAUUUGGUCUUUCAACCAGAACAAGGUUAGAAUCUUCAGGACAACCAUACUGCUGGAAUGAGCUCGUUACACUGAGUACCAAGUAUCGGGAUUUAACAGCACAUUCUCAACUUGCAUUAACAGUUUGGGAUGUCUCUUGUGGGGAAGAUGAAGGAUUAGUUGGAGGUGCCACCAUUCUUCUCUUUAACAGUAAAAAGCAACUUAAAACAGGAAAGCAGAAGCUUCGUCUCUGGCUAGGAAAAGAAGCUGAUGGAUCAUAUCCUACAACAACUCCUGGAAAGGUCCCCAGGCCUGAUCGAGGAGAGUUGGAGCGUCUUGAUAAACUCGUCAAUAAGUAUGAGAGAGGACAGAUACAGCGCAUUGAUUGGCUGGACCGUCUUACAUUUAAAUCCAUUGAGAAAGUUAAGGAAAAAGAAAGAUAUUCGAAAGGAAAUUCACACUUGAGCCUAAUCGUUGACUUCUGCAGUUUUGAACACAGAGUUGUUUUCCAGGAGUCUGGAGCAAAUUUUUUGUCACCAUCUCCUGUAUCUUCAACAAAUGAGCUCGUUACUGUGUGGGACCCUGAGGUAGGAAGGAUAAAUCCUUCUGAGCAUAAGCAGCUCAAGUUAGCAAGAAGUUUGACUCGUGGAAUCAUCGACAGAGAUCUCAAACCGAGCAUUAACGAAAGAAAGUCGAUCCAGAAAGUACUCAAGUACCCCCCAACAUGGAAUUUGAGUGGAGAUGAGAGGCAACUAUUGUGGAAAUUUAGGUUUUACUUGUUGUCUGAGAAGAGGGCCCUAACCAAGUUCCUACGCUGUGUUGAAUGGAGUGAUAUUCAGGAAGCAAAGCAGGCCCUUGAACUGAUGGGAAAAUGGGAGACGAUUGAUGUAUGUGAUGCAUUGGAGCUUCUAUCUCCUGUUUUCGAAAGCGAAGAGGUGCGUGCAUAUGCUGUAAGUGUGCUUGAGAGAGCUGAUGAUGAAGAGCUCCAAUGUUAUUUACUUCAGUUAGUGCAAGCUCUUCGCUUUGAGCGGUCUGAUAAAUCUCGCUUAAGUCAUUUCCUUGUGAAACGCUCGUUGUGCAACAUUGAGCUGGCUAGCUUUCUCCGUUGGUAUGUGGCAGUGGAACUUAAUGAUCCUGCAUAUGCAAAGCGAUUUUACUGUACCAAUGAGAUCCUGGAAGACAAUAUGAUGAAAUUAUCAGCGGGCAUAAAUGGCGAUGAAGAUGGCUUAAAGUUGUGGCGGAGUCUGGUGCAUCAGACAGAACUGACUGCUCAGUUAGUUAACAUAUCAAGGGAGGUGAGGAAUGUACGUGGUGGGACUCAGAAGAAAAUUGAAAAGCUAAGACAACUGCUAUCUGGUCUUCUUAGCGAGCUUACCCAUUUUGAAGAGCCGAUUCGGUCUCCACUUACACCUGGUGUGCUCAUUAGUGGGAUUAUACCAGCAGAGUCAUCAAUAUUUAAAAGUGCGCUGCAUCCUUUACGACUUACUUUCCGCACUACAACUGGUGGAUGCUGCAAAAUCAUAUUUAAAAAAGGGGACGAUAUUCGUCAAGAUCAACUGGUCAUUCAGAUGGUUUCCCUCAUGGAUCGGUUGCUGAAAUUGGAGAAUCUUGACUUACAUUUAACUCCAUAUAGAGUACUUGCAACUGGACAAGAUGAAGGAAUGAUGGAAUUCAUCCCAUCAAGUUCAUUAGCUCAGAUUUUAUCAGAGAAUCGUAGCAUUGUAAGCUAUUUGCAAAAGUUUCACCCUGACGAAGAUGGACCAUUUGGGAUAACAGCUACUUGUCUUGAUACCUUUAUAAAAAGCUGUGCUGGGUAUUCUGUUAUUACGUACAUACUGGGGAUUGGUGACAGGCAUCUAGACAAUCUUCUCCUUAGGGAUGAUGGACGCCUUUUCCAUGUUGAUUUCGGUUUUAUCCUGGGCAAAGAUCCUAAACCGUUUCCACCACCAAUGAAACUUUGCAAAGAGAUGGUUGAGGCUAUGGGUGGUGCAGAGAGCCAAUACUACACGAGGUUCAAAUCAUAUUGUUGUGAAGCGUAUAACAUCCUCAGGAAGUCCAGCAACCUAAUAUUAAAUUUGUUUUAUUUGAUGGCGGGUUCCAACAUUCCUGACAUAGCUUCCGAUCCUGAAAAAGGAAUUCUUAAGCUUCAAGAGAAGUUUCGGUUGGACUUGGACGACGAAGCUGCAAUACAUUUUUUCCAGGAUCUAAUCAAUGAGAGUGUUAGUGCUUUGUUCCCUCAAAUGGUUGAGACCAUUCAUCGUUGGGCUCAGUAUUGGCGUUGAUACCUUUGUACCCCACCUGAUGAAAGGCAUUUGGAGAAUCAUCAUCUCUUGGACCAAAGUGGCUCUGUGUAAUACAUGUAUAUAAUGAUCACAUUGUAUGCUUUCUGGUCUUAUGGUGUUCAUUCGUACCUGAAUAACGGCUUAAACUACCUGAAUAACGGCGUAAACUAAAAGCCAAGUACAUCAACAAACUAGAGCCUUAACUUGUAUAUCAGACGCGAAUCUGAUAAAGUCGUCGUGGAACAGUUGCUGGACUAACUUGUUGAGAUUCUUUCUAGUCAUUGUGACUAACCUGCAACAAUAAGUGUAGAGCCCCACUCCUAGUACCUGAACCAGUUCUUUCAUUAUGUUAUCUAUUAUUGACAAUCUUUUUUACUUCUUGAUUUUUUUUUUUUUAAGAUAGACUCGGAUGUUGUUGGUUCAAAUGAAUUUGUACCGUAGUCCUCUGGAUGUUCGUCUGAAAAUUAAUUUGUUUGUUAUUA